rnacentral:tRNA from 1 species
GCAGUAGUGGUUCAGUGGUAGAAUUCUCACCUUCCAACUGGGAGACCCAGGUUUGAUUCCCAACUAAUGCA